GAUGAAGAACGCAGCGAAAUGCGAUAAGUAAUGUGAAUUGCAGAAUUCAGUGAAUCAUCGAAUCUUUGAACGCAUCUUGCGCUCCUUGGUAUUCUGAGGAGCAUGCCUGUUUGAGUGUCAUUAAAUUCUCAACUACACUGACUUUGAAUUGGUGUGGCUUGGAUUUGGGGGGAAAAUUGUUGUGGGCUUUUUGUAUAGUCUGCUCCCCUGAAAUUGAUUAGCGGUACCUUUGUGGAACUGUCUACAGGUGUGAUAAUUAUCUACAUCUUAGACAUCUGCUGGAAUGCUGCUUUCUAAACCUUACUUGUAUUGACAAUCUUGACCUCAAAUCAGGUUGGACUACCCGCUGAACUUAAGCAUAUCAAUAAGCGGAGGA
rnacentral:misc_RNA from 1 species